GCCUGGGCUGGUGACGGUGUCAAGUGUAGGCAAGAAAUACGGCUGAUCAAGAAGCGACUUCACCUCCCUCGCACAACACUGAGUCCCUUUGCGGCAGGGGCCCUCCCCGCCGCGAACCCUACUUGGAACCUUGCGCCAUGCGAUGUCUCUCUCAUUCUAGGCCACGGAAGCCCUGGGUCACCCUUUCAGCCUGGUUCUCUCCGGUGGUGCUGGCUUGUUUCUCCUGUCUGUUGGGGUCAGCUGCGUCCAGCCUCGGCUCCUGCAGGAUUGCCCGGGCAACCCAGAGGAGAUGGGCGGGCGUGGAGGUCCUCCCUGGAUGACCCUUCCCACCAUUUCAACAUCAUUAGGAAUUUAACAGGCUUUUGCAAGAAGGCCCAGGUACGCAUCCCCCCAUUUAUAGUAGGAUUUCCAGGACAAAAUGUAUUCCACUCUCUAAACAACAAGCAACAUGUAUACAACCCAUUCAUAAGGUAAAGAUUCCCUUGCCUACACCUAGCUUCUCCUGCCCAAGCAUGGCCUUGUCGUUCUCUUCCCCAGGUCAAGUUCAGGACCUAGCAGCUGGGAAUGCACAUUUUCCAAGUUAAGAGUGGAAGAGUCCCAGCUUGGCUUAGAUGGAGUCACAUAUAGGAUUCAGGUUUGCCUUGGCAGGUCUGAUGGACCUUGGUGAGGGUCCGCCAGCAGCUGUGCACAGCAGCUGCCCAGGGCCAUGCAGCAGGCACCGCACUCCCCUUCCAGGAAGGAUUCCAGGCCCAGCUACAAGGAGCGUGGCUACUGACAGCUGUCCACUCACAGCUCGUCAGACUAAGCUUCAGCUUUCAAAAAGGACUGUGCCCUCCUUGGGCUGGCCCAGGCCCACAUAAGAGCAAGGCAGUGGCCCAAAGGCCUGGCAUUUCUGCCCACCACGGGAUUCCUCUCCUGGGUGGUCUGUGCUCCAGAGCUCUCUGUGGGGCUGGCUUACUUCUCCCCUGGCCCCUCCACAGGAGUUACUCAGCUAUAGCCCCUCUGCACACAUAACUCUAUCUGGGAGCCUUUCCCGGAGGAUGCAACCUAACUGGUUGGCUCAUCCUAUAGAAGCCAGUGUCCUUGACUUUUUCAGGUGAUGAACCUCUUUUGAGAGGAUGCUGAUAACUGUAAGCAUCUUCCCAGGAUUUGCACAUGUCCAGUGUUAGAGUGCAGGUCCCCCAAGGCCAUCCCACGGGCCUUCACAGGGAGUCGGGUUGAGGACUUCUGACUGAAGGAGGUGGGGAGGAGGCGAAGUCGGGGAAUGAGGAAGAUGGGGCUGGGGGAUAAUAACAGGGCUUCCGGCAAUGGAGAGGAGGGUUAAUUCUCAUUUCUGACUCACAGCGCAGCCUCCCAUGAGUUCAUGGAUUCUGUGGGAAAAACCAAAAGCCAAUUCCCUCAAGUGCUAUGUCAGGCCCUGCAGGCAGGUGGCCGGCGGUGGCCCCAUAUGGCUCUGGCACAAUGAGGGCUUCAGAGAACAGAGCUGCCUCUGCCUGGGGAGUGCCAGUGGCAUCAGCAGCAGGGGUGGUGCCCAGUCACCCAUGUGGCAGAGGCUGGCUGGGCACCGUCUCCUCUGGGUAACAUGGUGCCCACCAAGCCCUGGAAGCAAGGCCUCCCAGCACCUUUGCAAGCAGCAGAUAUCAUCUAGCAAUGUCCAGCUGGAUGGAAAGAAGAUACAACAGCUGGAAAGUGGCAUUGGCUGACCUCCUCCAGAAAGUCUCUUUCCAAAAUAAUUGGCAAGGGUUUCAGGUGUUAGAUGUUCUUCACUGACAGGUGGAGAAGGAGCUAACAAAACAAGAUUGUGCAGGAAUGAGAAGUCGUAUUUAGGAUGUACGACAGCAGACACACAGCACACACACACACACACACACACACACACACACACACACACACACACACACCAGGGGCUGUUUUCAGCACUCACUUAUAUUAAUUGAUUUAAUCCACAUACAGCCUCAUGUGCUAGCUCCUAUUAUUAUCUCAUUUUACUCUCAAAAAAACUGAUGCACAGAAAGGUUUAGCAGCCUGCUAAAGUCACGCAGCUGAAAAGUGGCAGAGCUGGGAUCUGAGCCAGGAAGCAAGGUACAAGGUCUGUGCUCUUCAUCUCCUUCUAUGCUGGCUGUAUGCUUGCUAGCGGCCAUGAACUUGGACCUUGGGGUGGGAGGGCUCUGCGUUCAUUCCCAGCCCCCCUUGUUACUGGCUGUGUGAUUUCAGGUCGGUUUCAUUCUUCUCUUUGACUCAGUUUCCUCAACUGAGUGUAAAAUGAUAGUGAUCCUACCUCAUAAACAUGUGUGAGGCUUAAAUGAGCUAAUUAUGUAAAAGAUUUUUGCUGCCACACAGAAAAAUGCUUAGUCUGACAUUGAAUAUAUAUGAAAUUUUUGGAUCUGCGCCACCCACAGAACUCAGAGUAGGUUCUUUAAAUAAACUUCUGCCCCAGACUCCCAGGCCAGCCCAGCCACUGAAGGCACCAAGACAGGAGCCCUGUGUCCGCUCCAGCCCUGAGGCUCCGGAAGCCAGGCAAGAGCAUUUCCCGGUGGAUUCCUGGCUGGGCCCAGCCUGGGGCCUCUCAGUGCUCCUGGUAGCCUUGCAUUUUCUAUCUUCAAGGGAAGCUUGAGUGCUGGAAGCCUGCCCGCCCCUGCACAUUCCUACCAGCGCCUGAAAUCAAUGAUGCCCUUGUUCUCCUUGGAAGCGUUGGAUGUGUGGGAGAAGGUUGAGGGCACACUGUCAUCCCGCCAAGCUGUCUGGAAAGCUGGAGGGUGCAUGAAAGGCUGGGGAGCACCCAGUCCUGCAUAGGUACCUCCUGCUUCAAAUCAGCCAGAUCCAGGGACUCACACCAUGGCAUCAAUGUGAGGAGCACUAUAAGAGGAUACCCUUCUAGUGGGUUUCAAAGCACCUGAUUAAUACAAAUGUAAUCAACACGAAGCUUUUCUACUACAUAUUCUUUGUGUAAAGCCAUAUGCACUCACAUUCAGAAAUACUAAAGAUCAGGUCUAGAAAAAUAUUCCUACAGGCAGAAAGAAGAGAGAGUCCAGUUCUAAACACAGGGAAGGGUUGAAGAAGCACAGUGGGUGAGGGAGAGCCCAUGUGGGUGGGAGAGGAUGAGGGCACAGGUGGAUAUUGUUUUAAAAUUUGGUAGUGGCAAAUUGGAAGCACAAUGUAAUUUCACUUACAAUUUGCCUUCCAUCAAAUAGGAUCCCCAAAUACUCAAAGGCCUUAAAUGGAGGCUUUUCUUUAACGAUCUCAAAUUUUUAACUUUUGCUAGGCGUGGUGGUUCAUGCCUAUAAUCCCAGCACUUUGGGAGACUGAGGCGGGCGGAUCACCUCAGGCCAGGAGUUCGAGACCAGCCUGGCCAACAUGGUGAAACUCUGUCUCUUCCAAAAAUACAAAAACUAGCUGGGCAUGGUGGAUCGAGCCUGUAAUUCUAACUACUCGGGAGGCUGAGGCAGGAGAAUAGCUUGAAUCCGGGAGGCGGAGGUUGUGGUGAGCCAGAUGGCACCACUACAAUUCAGCCUGGGCC
rnacentral:lncRNA from 1 species